AGUUAGAAAGCGAAUUAUUGCACUUAGUUUCGGCCUAAGAUUUGGUCUUAAAAAGAUCUCUAAUUU
rnacentral:tRNA from 1 species